GUGGGGAAUAUUCCGCAAUGGACGAAAGUCUGACGGAGCAACGCCGCGUGAGUGAUGAAGGUUUUCGGACUGUAAAGCUCUGUUGUUUAGGACGAAAGUGCCUGUUGCGAAUAGUUACAGGUAUUGACGGUACUGAACGAGGAAGCCACGGCUAACUACGUGCCAGCAGCCGCGGUAAUACGUAGGUGGCAAGCGUUGUCCGGAAUUAUUGGGCGUAAAGAGCAUGUAGGCGGGAAUCUAAGUCUGUUGUGAAAAUGCGGGGCUCAACCCCGUAUUGCGAUGGAAACUGGGUUUCUUGAGUGCAGGAGAGGAAAGGGGAAUUCCCAGUGUAGCGGUGAAAUGCGUAGAUAUUGGGAGGAACACCAGUGGCGAAGGCGCCUUUCUGGACUGUGUCUGACUCUGAGAUGCGAAAGCCAGGGUAGCGAACGGGAUUAGAAACCCGGGUAGUCC
rnacentral:rRNA from 1 species